AGGGAGGGACUCAGCUGUGAGCGGUCAGCCACCAACACUCCUGAGACCUGGUCCUGAAGGGCGAUCAGGGUGGCACACACAGUGUCUGCUACACCAGCCUUUAGCUGAGACAGCUGAGGAGAGCAGGGCAGUUCUGAUGCCCCGAAGACAAGAAGGCAGAGGAUGAAGGACUUUCUUUUUCAGUUCAGUUCCAUACAUAUUGUCUAACACUGACCAUAUGCCAAACUUUGGGCUGGUCCCUGAGGAUAUGCAGAGGAGUCACUGUCCCUGCCAUCGAGGAGCUCAAAGACGAGUGGAGAAGAAAGACGAAGCCUGGCUUUGUGGUUAUAAACUCAACUUUUAGAGUCAGACAGGAGAGUGAAAUCUGAGUCCUGCCAUACCUGACCUUGAGCUCCAAGAUCGUUCAUUUUCUCCUCUGCAAAAUGAGGAUGUGAUGUCAACCUCAUAGGGAUCUUGUAAGAAUUAACCGAGAUAAUGCAUCGGGUCUAUGCACAUGACCUGAAAUGGUCUACAGCCACCUAGGAGUCACUGGGUCCAACCACUUGAUCUUACAGAUGCAGAAACUGAGGUCGCAGGACUCUUAGCAACACCAGAGCCAUGGCUCUGCCUGUCUUUUUCACAGUUUGUAUUCCCAGUGCCUCGCACACAGAAGGUGCUCAAUAAACACUCGUGUAACGCUUGUAGAAUACUUGUUGCCCUUUGGUUGCAUCAGCUUAUCAGGCUAGACCUGAGUGCCCAGGCUGUCCCAACUUGGGCUCUGCCUUUCCUCUCCCCCAGCCUCCAGAAAUUCCUCACCACGUUCAGUUUUGGGCUUAUUAGCAAAUGCAAAUUGAAUUACGCUGUGCCCUUUCCCAACAAGGACAACAAAAACAGUUUCCCCAGAAAAAGAGGGCGAGAAGAGGUGAAAGCUGGGAUGAAAGUAGAAGACAAUACAUUCUAAUCAAACUUGAUAAAUAUGCAAAUUAAAGCAGCUAAACAGUUGGCUUUGACAAAUGACUUCUCAGUAAUGGAUUUUUCCACAGUGAAAGGCGAGAGUUCAGCCAGCCUGGUCGUCACCAGAGGAGCCCUCUCCUGCUUUCCUGGUAAUGCGGGCGACGCGGAAGGCACCAGGAUGCCAGGAGGCGAGCACAGCACUAACCUUGCUUUUAAUAGACGCCAUUUAUCGGGCUUGCCUGCUGGCUGCUAGGCACACCCUCCCUCAGCCCGGCAGAGGGAGGAGCCCUGCCUCAUGCCCCAGGGAGCUGAGGGCAAGGCCAGUGAGGGCCAGAUUCACAUUUCGCCGAGGGACCCAAGCAACCAGCUGUUGAGGAACAUAAGUUGAAUCCUGCCGGUAGUUUUACUGCCUUCCGGGGGUCUCACCAACUCACAACUGUUGGAGUCAGCCCACCUGAAGGUCCAGACAGCCUGGAGCAGAGAAGAAGGGUCAGACCACGGACUCUGCAAAAUACAGUCGUGUACCGCACAACGACAUUUCCGUCAACCAAAGACCGCAUGUACGACGGUGGUCCCAGAAGAUCAGUACCAUAGAGCCUGGGUGUGUGAUAGGCUGUGCCAUCUAGGUCUGUGUAAGUGCACUCUAUGAAGUUCACACAACGACAAAAUCAGCUAAGGACACAUUUCUCAGAAUGUAUCUUGGAUCUUAAGCAACGCGUGAUUGUACAAAGCAAUUAUCAUUGUAAGCACUAAAUUUGAGGGUGGGGGAUGUUAUUACUUAACAAAAGAUAAGCAGAAUAAUUGCUGUGAAAUGGAUAUUCUAGUAGGUUAUAAUACAGCAGUCAGGUGAGGGGUGGUUGAAAAGGACCAGGUUUUGAGCAGUUACUGUGUGCCAGGUAUAUUUUAUACACUAUAAUCGAGGUCUCACCAGGCCUGGCGAGAAUUGUAUUGUUUUCCUCGUAUCAUAGAUAACAAAUCUGAGGUGACGUGCAUUGCCCAGGGCCAACCCAGCUAGCAAGAGUCUCAGCUGGAAUUUGAACCCGGUCUUUCUAUCUCCUGAGCCCACUCUUUUUUCUGACACCUCCAAGGGUGGUCCUUCCCCAGGUAUAUCAGGGGAAAGCUCCUGCCCCAGGUAUAUCAGGGGAAAGCUCCUGCCCCAGGUGUAUCAGGGGAAAGCUCCUGCCCCAGGUGUAUCAGGGGAAAGCUCCUGCCCCAGGUAUAUCAGGGGAAAGAUGCUCUGUAGGUACACGUGCUCAGUCGCAUGCACACGUCUGCUUCUGACUCAAACUCCCACAAAUUCCUGAGUUUUUGUACAAAGUUAUCAGAGCUGAGGUGCAAGCAGAAAUUUAUGUUGAAUGGUUUGCAGUCUCAGAAAGACACUAUUAAUACAAUCUCCCCAAACAGAGCACCAACAUUUAGGAACCCUCAAAGUGCUUCAGGAAAAGAGUUUCCUCGUAGAGCUGGGAGUAAUGCGAUCCAGGCCCUGAGCCGAAGACCUGUCUUGCCUGACGCUGGAGGAAUUUAGAUUUGAAGAGUGUUCUUUCUUUCCUAUUGAGAUCUUCAUUGACUUGUAUAAAAAUACCACUUUCAAUCUCAAAUCCCCACUGGCAUCUUUAUAUAAGCACCGAAAAUGCUACUGGGCUUUGGAGAUUUCAUUUAAUGAAGGAAAAGUAUUUCUAUUAAAGAGUGUAAUUUUUUUUCCUCUCUCAACACAACAUCUUCCGAGGAGCCGAAGAGGCUGGAUUGUUCUGGGCUCUGAGAAAAUGAACCAGCCCAUGCCUCACCCAUGAGCGGGUUAAAUAGACUACAGAAUAGCAGCAGCCAAGGAAGGCGGGGAAGGAUCAGCAAUAAGGGGAAAAUAAGGGUAAUUAUAAUAAAUAAACUCCCAUAUACCCAUGACUUUACAGUUUAGGAAGCACUUUGGGCUCAAUAGGGAGAUAUUUCUGUUGCCAACUCCCCCACCCUCGUGUGCUGUGUGAACCACAGCAGCAGCCUCUGCCCUGCUGUCCCUUCUCAGGGACCUUGGUCUCACUCUUCUGCUUCCAGUCCUGUGCUGGCUUCCCUGGGCACUAGAAACUAACCCAGGCUAGGACCCGUCCUGCUUCUCCCCCACCCACGCCCCACCCUCACCUCUGGCCCCUCUCUCACUUGCUCAUCCUGCCUCCUCACACUGGUUUCCUUCUAGUUCCUCUGCUCUCCGUCUGGAGGACUCCCCUGGGUUCUGUGGGGCUGGCUCCUUACCCCUCAGGGCUCCUCCCACGAGAACGGUAGCUCCACGGCGGCGGGAACUUUGCUUAUUAACCGCUGUGGACCCAGGUCUGACAUGGCACCUGGCAGCUACACAC